rnacentral:lncRNA from 1 species
CGUUCAUCGAUUAGGUGUUUUGUUGGUUAGGUGUUUGUUAUGAUGUAGUCAACCCUGGAAAACUCCUAAAAGUGUCUGAAACAUAUUUCUCAAUAUUUUCUGCUCAAAAUGGAGCUACAAAUUAAAUGCCGAUUAUGUGCUUCCGACAGUUUUAACGGUGUUCCUAUAUUUAGUGACAACAAUCUGAUUAAUGAUCUCAGUUCCUUCAUCAACCAACAUCUACCCCUCAAGGUUGAAAAAGAUGGAGUGUUUUCAAACAUUAUUUGUCAAAGUUGUAACCUUCAGCUUCAUGCCACCAUUGAUUUUUUUGACAAAAUUCGCCAAGGUCAGGACACACUGCAAACCUUGCUGCAACAGAUGGGAACAGACAUGAAAAAUGACCUUGCACAGAUGGAUGGCGUUAUAAGCCAACUCUCAGAUGACAACCUUCAAAUGGUGUAUUCCAGUGAUCUCUAUCCUGAGAUAGAAUGA